rfam:Felis catus isolate Cinnamon breed Abyssinian chromosome A1, whole genome shotgun sequence.
GCCUGGUUGGCACAGUCGGUUAAGCGUCUGACUUCGACUCAGGUCAUGAUCUCACGGUCCGUGAGAUCGAGUCCCGCAUCGGGCU